rnacentral:rRNA from 1 species
UACGGGGGGGCAAGCGUUGUUCGGAAUUCCUGGGCGUAAAGGGCUCGUCGGCGGCCCACUAAGUCAGACGUGAAAUCCCCAGGCUCAACCUGGGAACUGCGUCUGAUACUGGAUGGCUUGAAUUCGGGAGAGGGAUGCAGAAUUCCAGGUGUAGCGGUGAAAUGCGUAGAUAUCUGGAGGGAUACCGGUGGCGAAGGCGGCAUCCUGGACCGACAUUGACGCUGAGGAGCGAAAGCUAGGGGAGCAAACGGG